GGCAGAGGUCGGGGGCUCUCUGCGCGGGGGCAGGCCGCCUGGCAGGUGCCUGCGGGAGGUGGAAAAGGGCUGGCGUGUGCAGACAUGGGCGGGUGGUACGCAGUGGGCUGCAUGAGCAGAGAGGUCGGCCUGGGCAGGGGCUGGAUCCCUGGGGUGGGACGAUGAGGAGACGCGUGCAGGGGAGGCAAGGCCUGGAGAAGACACGUGUGCUCAAACAGUAUUAAUGAGGUCAGUCACCAAAAGGGAGAGGUGCCCUGGGCAGACCCCUGGAGCAGGGGAGGCAGGCUUGGGAGCGAGUGCCCCUCCCGCCGCAGGCUGCCGGGUUGCGUGUGCUCAGGGGCGUGUGUGCGCGCAGAGGGGCACAGCCCUUCGCCCCGUGGCUGGAUAGGAGCCGACCAAAAUGCAAAGCCUGGCACCUCAUGCCCUCCUUGCAGCUGGGCCCAGCGAGGGCAGCGGGGCAUGACACACGGCAGGGACAGGCGCCGCAUUCCCGCUGGCCCGGCAUAGGCGCGAGGGGGCUGGCUCUGCCCCUGCCUCGGGGACGCAGGGCGACAGCAGUGCACAACCCCAGGGAGCAGCUUUGCUGUCAGCUUGCAUGGCCCCUGGCAGCACUUGCACGAGGGAGGGAGGGUUCAUGCCAUCUCCCGGAGCAGAGGGGAAGCCACAGGUGCAAGCCCUGGGUGCAGGAUUGGCAGGGCAGGGCUGCGCAGCUGCAGCCCUUCAGCUGAUUCCCAUCAGGACCAGGGCUAUGGGAGGCAGGGCAUAUGUAGGAGAGCUGCUACCUUACAGCUGGCUCUGUGUCUCUGCCUGGCUCGGCCAGGGCCGUUGCAGGGGACUGCUGGGAUCCUAGGACCCCGGCAUGGAGGUGGGGGAGCUCACUUUGCAGACAGGUGGGGGAGCAGCAAGAUGGGCACAAGCCGGAGCCUGCCCUUAUCUGCCUGUCUCCUCACACCUGCAGCCUGCGCCCGCAUUGCUCGGCCUUCCUGGGGCACCCGUCAAAGGAUCUCGUGGCACCUGGUUGAGAGUCGCCCACAAGAGAGUCAGUCACUGAACGCAGCAGCAGGAGGAGAAGCUAUCCCGAGCUGGGAUGCAGUUGUGCAGGCAGUGUGCUUCCCACGGCGUGGACAUCAGGCUCUCAUGCCUUGUCGGGGAGGCCAUCAGGCUUGGUAGGGGGGAGGCUGGGAGUGAGUGCCCUAGGGCUGGGGACCGGGAGAAGGAGCUGGCCGCAGGGAAUCGUGCCUGUUUUGCCAGGGGAGUUGGAGGGAAGGUGAGGGUCUCAUUACUGCCUGCCUUCAGGGAGGUGCUGAGGACAAGGGAAAGCUGCAUGCAGGUACCUGGGCUCCUUCCAGCCCUGUGAAUGCACCCACACAUGCACACAACCCUGCACAUGCGUGCGAGUGUGCGAGUAUCCUACACCAGCUAAUACAGGCAGCCGCUGCCCCAGGCAUCUGGUUUCAUCAGUAGAUUUUAAUUCAGUGGAGAAGCCUGUCCUUGCUGCAGGAUUCCUCAGGUAUAAAAAGAUAACUUCCUAUGAACCUACGCCCCUGUAACUUCCUAUGAAAUGCCUUGGGCUCUGGGUUGUCUCUAUAGAACCAGAUUAAAUCCCGGCACGGGCCCUACUGAUCUCACCUCUGGUAAAGAAAGGUUCUGGGACAUCUACAUGACAGAAGAGUGGAUGUGGGUGGUCAUGUCCAAACCUGCAUGCAGCUUUGUGCGCACAUGAGUCCAUGCUACCAGGCUGGUGUACAUGACAGGCAGAGACCUUCCCUGGCUGGGCUCCCGUGUGCACAAGCACUCCUGCAUUAUCUGUGCGUGGGUUCACACUCCAACAGGCAGAUGUACUCAAGCCACCCUGCGUGCACCAAUAUACUCCCAGCCACAUCAGUAGCACGCCUGCACACGUGGGGCACGGGGAUAUUUCUAAUUGCGUUUCGACCUUUCGCCGGUUCAUCUUGUCGUUUAUGUUUCCUAAUGCUUAGCAGGGCAGGGAAAGAUCCUCCAGCCGCUGCCAGUGGCUAUGCUGUGAUGCUAAGUAGGGUCCCGAGCUGUUGCGUGUCGCCGGGUGAAGCUGGAGAACCAGCGGGUACGGUCAUGGGCUGGGCUGUGCUGGUCUAGCUGCUCUUUCUGGAAGCCCUCGCUUUUAUCUCCUCAGCCCAGGAGCAUGGCGAGAGCAGCAGGCCUGUAACACUUUACUGCACGCAGAGACUGCAUCAUGGAGAAGCAAAUCUCUUUAAAAGAAAAAGACAAUCAAGCCCAAAGUGGAACCUAGCAAGAGCCGAUCUUGUGGAAAUGACAUCCUGCCAGAAGUGCAGCUUCAGUGCACAAAAAAUUAUGUCUCUAGCAGGGAUUUCACCUUCCAGGAAAUGAUUGUCCCUCUGGGCACCAGAAAUGGCCUUUCUGAAGCAGAUAAAUAGUUUCAAAUUCCUAAUACACGUUUAAUUUACUUCUCCUAACACCGGCACCCAGCAGUCUUUGCACUGAGCCAGAAGAAGGGACGGUAACAUUUUCCUGGGGGUUGAAAUUUCUAACCCAAUUAGGAGUGAUUGCUGCUUUUUGAAGCUGGCUGGACCAUUUUGUUGUCAUUUUAAGCUGUGUCAUUUCUGAGGAAAAUGCCAGGCCUUUGCAAAGGACAGGAAAUUGGAGUCCAUGUCACCUCCGUUCUCAAGUGUUUGAGCAACAAGAUGUUGUUCUUUUUAAUCCGAGGCAAAAAGAAAAAGAGCUGAGCUAGGUAAUGCUGGGACAGCGGAGACCAGGAAAGGGAGACGGUGCUUUGUGCACCGCGUCCCAUGGGCUCCUGCUGCCUGUCCCUGCCCAGGGCAGCAGAGUGAACCUGCCCCCGUUUGCAGAGGGCUCUGGCUCCUCGGCCUCCCUGUUGCCGCUGCUGACUGGGUCGCCCGUUCCUGCCGCGGCAGUGCCUGCUGCUGCCAGUGUGGCUGCGACCAAACCAACUCGUGUCACGCUGGCCACCAAGUGCUCACCCCCACCCACGAUGAAUACAGGCAGGACCUGAGGUUGCAGCUGAAAGCAGCUGGCUCCGUGGCCUGUCCCUGACCCCGGUGCCAGGCAGCGUGAAAGCCUUUCUGUUUGGAGAGAAAAAGGCGUUUUCAAGCCAGAUGUAGGGAAGACGGAGAACAGACAAAGCCAAAAAGAGCCAGACAAAACCCCAGUGUUUUCCUUCGCCGCGGGGCCGGACGGCUGGUUCUGACGCAGAAACGGGACGGCUCCUGCUGCCGGGUGAAGCGGUGUUCACAAUCCUAGGGGGCAAGAGCCCCAGAGCAAGGCCACGGCCGGGCCUGCUGCCGGGGUCCCCUCGCCCCAGCUGUGCUGGCCACCCCCAGCAUCAGCCCUUGCAGCCCUGCCCCUUCGCCCCCCCUGGAAGCGCAGCCAGCCGUGCCCCCUGCCUGCCUGGGCCGUGCCCGCAGGACUUGGUGUAGGUUUGGGUGCUUGUUCCCACUGCUGCUCUCCCUCCUCUUUCCUUCCCCGUUUGGUACAUGCAUGCCAAUCCCCGUGCAGCACUUGCCACCCAAAAACGUGAAACCAUGGAGAUUAUUGUGGUGCACCGGUGGCGACUCCCCGAGACCCCCAUGUUGAGGCAGAAAGCAGGGCUGGCUGCAUGGGCCGGGGUCUCAGACCAAACUAUUGCCUUCCUUUCAGGAAAAUUGUGGGCGUUCAUUGCCUUGGGGCAGGGUGGGCAUGCAACAUCCCCAAGCCUGUUCAGCGCUUCCUGCAAGCCCCUGGCACAGGCUGCUGACCCCACGUGCCAGGGGGAGUUUGCCUGGGCGGCUGUGUGCUUCCGUCCUGCUCUUUGCUGGAGGACUGGUGGAACGGGAGUUUCACCUCCCUCCAUCUCCCCUCCAGGCUCCUACAUGCAGCUGUUUGCAAAAUGAGGAGGGGAAGUUGGGAGCAUUUUUGCAGAAUUUGGAUUUCUGUCAAGACUUAUAUCACUGACGUUCACGGAGCAGCUCCUCUCUGCAGUGCUAAACCUAUGUGUGGUGCUGGCAACUGGCUGGACUGGAGCCUCUGGCAACAACUCGCCAGGGACAGAGUAUCCCUGCUUUUUCUUGCACCCUCUUCUGAAGCAGCAGCGGCAGGGCCCUGUUGGGAGUGGGUACGGGGCUAUGUGGACCGUGGGUCUGGUCCAGUGGUUCCCAUAUUCCUACACUGAGUAGAUCAUAGGUCAGUGCCACCCAGGUGGAUGUAAGGGAUAGUUAUAAGGGUAAGAGCGAACUGCCCCUAGCUGGCAGCCUGUCUCCCCAAGCUCCCCUCUGUUCUGGUCUGCCUGGCUUUGCCCAGGUGGCUUUUCUAUGAAGAUGCUUUCCUAGAAUCAUGCAGGUUUUCUUGUCAUCAGCAGCAUCACUUCUUCCAGGGCCUUUAGUGCAACCAUGAGUACCCUGUCCCUUCACCUGUUACACUCUGGGCCUGGCGCCAGGCACUGAUGCCUGGCAGAUGAGGAGCAUGCAGUCAGGUUUCCAUACGCUGGGGCACUCCCUGGGUACCAGUGCACUACAAACCAGCACUUGCCUCUCAGAGGUCUCCCCCAACCCCUGGGGCAGGGUUGACCUGUGCCUGAGUGUCUGUUUGUGUGAUGCCCACAGCGGUGCUGCUGGUCCAGUACUCUGCUCUCCCUAGUGCCACAGGCUGCCAAGGAAACCUCUUUUAAAGCUUAAAAACCCAGGUUUGAGGCCUCCGUAGGGUACUGCUAAAUAGAAAGGCAGCCAGAGAUUAAGAUUCAAGCCACAGCUUCCCUCAGUGACCUAUUUCUCUGCAUCGUGUUCUGCUAACCCAUUCUCGUGGGCAGCCAGCUUGCCUUGUGCGCCAGCACUUGUAAUGGAUGACGCUAGCCGUGUCCACCCCGCCCUCCUCUGCGCGACGCUGACGCCGGACAGGGAGAGCCGUGGCCAGGGCUCUGCAUGGAUGGGCCUUAGCAUCAGAAGGGGGAAAUCUGGGCUCUGGGCCCUACUCCACUGGUGGCUUCCUGCCCGCAGGCCAGCGCGUGUGGGGCUCUAAACUCUGGUUUAUUCAAACCUGAAGUAGUAGGUGUCACAUGGCUGCAGUAGAUGUGGUGGGUAAAGAUCGCAUGGAUUUGAAAGCGCCCAGAUCCUCCUGUCCCGUGCAUCAGCACAGCUUGGCGGGCUUCGGUAGAGCUACUCUGGUUUGUCCUUGCAACAGGCCUGGCCCCCAGUGCGCUGGGAACAACAGUCCCACCGGCACGCGGCAGGAGUCUGCAGCAGCAGGUUGUGUUUAGAUCUCAUGUCUUGUUGCGCUUCCCACUGAACAUGUGCUUUUCCUCUGUAGAAACAUCGGACCAGACCCUUUGCAGAGCCCAGUCGAGGUGUCACCCGCAGCUUCCCUGGGCUUGUGUGGAAAUGUCUGUAGUGCUGCCGCGCAUUGGAGUUGACUGCGAGGGGCUUGGUAUUUUAGGACCAAAAGGUGAAAUAGGGAGGAAAAAUUAAAACUGUUUUGUGCUCGGAAGCUCUAGGCUGCCGCAGCUCCCAACAGCAGUGAGCUACAGGUCGCUCCAGUGUGGCUCUCUCUUCAUUGCCUCUCCAGACCCAGCGAGCCUGAAUGCAGCCGGAGAUGAUUGUUGCUCUGGCAGGGGACUUUAUUGCACAGAACGGAUAAUGAAGCUAGGACAAGGUUACAGGAGGCCUGAGCUGAUCUCAGCCUUUUGGUAUCUGCCUCUCUGGUCGGGUCCUGGGGGGGUAUAGCAUAACAGAUGAAAGUAGCUGCCUAUCAUGCCAUCCCCUGCCACAGAACUAGACCUGAGGUCAUGCUGGUCAUGCAUACAGGCCCAUUAUCUCUCAGCCCUGCUCAGUAAUUACCUUGAAAUGCCAGUGUUGGUUUUUUUCUUUCCUGUUUUCCUGGGAACUGACAAAUGAACACACAUCAGCACCGGGCCGUGGUCGCAGCAUCCGCUCCCAGCACCGACGUGUGUCAGGAACAGUGCGGGGGAGAGGGCCGGUCGGCGGCGUGGCCAGGAUGGCUUCUGGAGGAGGAAGGGGCUCUGGAGCAGCACCGGCAUGAGCACGAACUUGCCCUCUGGUAUCUGACCCACACACAGAGCAGAAACCAGGUCAUAUUCGCCAGAACAGACUUUCACAUCAAUCUGUCCCGUUUAACUCGGAUGCUGUCAGGAUUCGACACCCCAGGUUCUCCUUUUCUUUUUGUCCCAGUCAUUGGGACCCUCCGUCCAUCCCAUCCCCUGAUCCCUUCCCUUCCCCUCUUGUUUUUGCACAAAAAAAAAAUGUUAAUUUUAUUUCUAUGUAUAUAUAAAUAAAUAUAUUCAUUUAACUUGACCUCCAGUGCUGUCAAGCAGCCGUUGUGCUGCACUUGGCAGAGCAGAACACACUCAA